AUAGUCCUGGAACUUAAUCACACCUUGUAUAUUUAAAUUUCUUAUAUAUAAUAAAUAAAAUUUUACAAAUUGAAUUUUUCUUUUUAGGGUGUUAAACGGAGAUUGAAUUUAGAGACACUCAAUUUUGGGUAUGAAGAUGUUACAUCAACACCAAUGACAGCUAAGCGAAUGAGAAAAUGGUCCAGUUCGAGUGCUGGAAGUGAAUCACCUAGUCCAGCUCAAAGUGGUAAGAAAGGGAAAAUACCAAUUUGAACUCUAAUAAUAAUUUUAAAUAUGUUAUUUUUAGUUGCUGGAAAAAAGUGUUCUGAACGUCCAACACGUUAUGACACAUCUUUAGGUUUAUUGACUAAAAAAUUUAUUGGUCUUCUUGAAGAUUCUACUGAUGGUGUUGUUGAUUUAAAUAUAGCAUCAGAAAAAUUGGAUGUACAAAAACGAAGAAUAUAUGAUAUUACCAAUGUUUUAGAAGGUAUAGGAAUUUUAGAAAAGAAAUCAAAAAAUAAUAUUCAAUGGAAGUAAGUUAUUAGAAUUUUAACCGUUUAUAAAUAAUUUAUUAUCAUAUUAUGGUAUUAUUAUGGUUUAGAGGUGGAAAUGUAUAUGGAUCAGACAAAAAUAAUGUUCAACAGGAUAUAGACAAAAUGAAAGCCAAAGAAGAAGAAUUAGAUAAUUUAAUUUCAAAUACUGGUAUGAUUUUAUAAUUUAAUAUAUUUUUUUUUCUCAGUGUAUUGGUCUCUGUAUGACCUGUGCUGCCAUAAGUAAUCUUCUAACUUUCCCUGUUGACACAUAUCCACCAUCCAGGUGCCCUUCUGUGUAGAGAAAAUACUGUAAUAUCUUUCCAUCUCUUACACAAUCUAUGUUUUUUGGUAUAUAUAUUUUUUUUAUCUUUGCAACUUUUCUGCCAACCAUUUUGCUCCAACUUUUAAUAAUAGCAAUGUUUCUUCUAAAAAAUAAUUUCACUAGUAAGGUACUUUAUUAGAGAGGUAAUUUUUCGAUUUCCUCAAGUUUUUCUAGCAAAUGUGAAAACAGAAAACUGGGAAAAUUGUACAUAUUAUUAAAGAAAAUAUAUAAAGUCUAUUUAAUUACUUUACUAUUAAAUGACAUAUAUACUAUAUUGAUGACAAAGCAUCACUAUCAACUGAACUCAUAAUAGUUUUUUUUGUAAGUAAUGGUUUUUCGUUGCUUACUGGUACACAUUAAAUUACCUAUAACAGUGGCUGCACCAAUCUCCAUUAUCCUAUGACGUCUUUUAUUAUUUAUGUUCACUCUCAAAUACUUAAACUGUUCCAUUUUUUCAUAUGUGAAAUGUCUAUUUGUAAAUUAAAUUGAUUUCCACUUCUGGUGAGAACCAUAGAUAUAAUUUAUUCUUCGUUAAUAUGUUGCUCCAUCUUUUCACUGAUUGUCAAGAGUUUAAAAAACAUUGUCCAAAUAAAAUUUUGUCUGAUAUUGCUUAAAAUUUUAAUAUCCUUUAUGUAUGUAUGUGCUAAUAUGUUUCUUUUGCAGCCACAUACAUUUGUUAUGUAUGCUUUAGUUAUUUUAAAAUCUUUUCAAGGCUUAGGUUUAAAGGAGUUAGGGAAACAAGGCAUUUUUUUGUUGUAAAAAUCUGUUUUAUUAUAUUCUGCUUUAGUUUUUAUAGUGCGUUGUUCAUGUGUUUCUUACAAAUGGUAAUGUGUUGUUGUUUAUUAUGAAUCCUAUUCCAUAUUCUUUAGUUCUACGACAACUAGAAUAUAUUCACAUCAAAAAGUUUGAUUUCCUCCUACAUUUGUUCAUCUAAUCUCUUGUAUAGCUACUAUUUCACACAGAUAUCUCUAAAGUGCAUAUAUUAUUGUCGGCAUUACAUUUACUAUGUACAUUAGACGUACAUUUUAUGUUCCUAAAUUAAACUUUGGCUAUUUAUUUUUCAUUUGAGGUUUUGUAAUGUUUUGUUUUGGAACCUAAUUGUUUUUAUAAGUUAGGUAGUUAGUCCUACAUCUAUCCUCAUUAAUGAAGUCUUCACUUCUUUACUGGAAUAGUAGAGGGCUAUUGCAAUGUUGUUUCCAACACUGAGGGAUUAUAGCGUCACUUCCCUACGCCCAUUCCUACUAAAGUUGUCUGCCUAGGAUUUUUUGCCAGUAACUAUCCUCCAAUAGGAGCUCCAUGCUCUGGAUUCACACCCAUAAUAUAAAAAACUUCUCUUAAGGAGUUUUAUCAUAUUUAUGUAUUUAUUCAUUAUCCUAAAAAAAAGAAUUGAUUCUUUUCAUAACUCUUUCCUAUUUAUACUAUGUAAGCUUAUUUAUAAUCAAAGAAUAACAUAUAUUAUUUAGUAUGAAAAUGUUCUCUGUAGUUGACCUCCCUUUUCUGAAACCUUAUUAUUUGAUACUGCCAUAAAAAAAUGUCGACAUGUGGAGUUUAAAGGAUUGUUCAUAACACGUGUUUAUUAAUAAUUACCAAAAGAAUUUAUUAUGUUUGAUCAUUUUCCAUGUUUUAUUCUUCUUUACGGCUUCUUCCCUGUUCAUUAAUAAUUCUACUAUUGCUUUUGCCUGGGGUCUUAUUAUUCUUUAAUUUAUUUAUGAUAUUGUAGACUCUAGAUUUUAAGGAACUAUUAAUAUAAUAUGUUUCUAUCAUAUAUUAAGAAUAUGAAUAAAUAGUUCUAUUUAUAUAUAUUUUAAUAAAACAAUCAAUUAGAUUAGUUUAUUUCCAAUGUAAAAAGAAGAUAAUAACAUUAUUACAAAGAAAAAGUUUUCAUUAAUAUCUACUGAUAAUGAUUUUUUUUUUAUCAAUAAUUUUACUUACAGAACGAGAUCUUAAGCAAUUAACAGAAGAUAAAAGAUAUGGAUAUGUAACUUAUCAAGACAUUAGGUCUAUUGACUCGUUUAGAGAAAAGACUGUUUUGGUUGUCAAAGCACCUCCUGAAACUGAAUUACAAGUACCUCAAGAUCACAUUGACGGAGAAGUAAAUAUACCUAAAUGAUAUUCAGUAUUUAUGAGUAAUGAGCGUGAAGUCAAAAUGAGAAAAAUUACCCCUAAAUUCAAGAUUCUGGAUAAAUUUGUGUUUUUUUUUUUUUUUUUAAUUGAAAUAUUCAAUUUAGUAGUAGUUAUGGCUAUUUUAUGUUUAUACAUUAUAUAUAUUUGGUUUUAUAUCAUUUGGUAUAAUUCUGGUGUAAAAAAAAAAAAAAAAAAAAAAAAAAAAAAAAAAAAACUAGAUCUUCAGUAUGAUUUUUUGAGGGGUAUACAAUUUAGAAUAGUGACUAUGAUUUAGUUUGAAGUCUGAAUGAAAAAACUCUUUUUACUGGCAGUUUCAAUUAUCUGUACAUAUAGUUUGAUUCCCAUUUUCUCACUGACCUUGAUUUGAUUAACAUUCCAUUGUAUGAAUAAGUCUUCUAUUCUGCUUAGUAGGUUUUUAUUCAGUUUUGUAUCUGCAUUAUGUUCAGUAAUAAAGUAUUAUGAAUAUUAUUAAAUUUAUGUAAUGAACUUAAGAAGACAUUAUACCCCUAUCUACUGUCUCAGUCACAAUAUUAGUCUCCGUACUAUAUUUUAGAGAGAAUGUCUAGUGUUUUUUGAAUUAUGAACUAUUUUAAAGAGUAAAAAAAUUAAGGUUUUUUUUUGUCUUUUAUAUCAAGCUGUAUAUUUUGAAUAAUUCAAAAACCAUAUGACAUUCCCUGCAAAAUAUUGUUCUUUGUAAAUUUCAUAAUAGGUACUUUACUCAAAAAUCAAAAUUAAGAUAGUUUUAUUUAUUCUGUGUAAGCAUUUUUUUUGUAUAUUACCCGGUAAUUGGACUGAGACAGUAGAAACAAAAAAAUUUGUCUGAAAGUUAUUUGUUAUAGAAUGUGCAAUCUAUAUAUAUAUAUAUACAGGGCGUAAUCCCACAAGGAUUCAACAAAUGCAAUAACUUUUGCUCUAUUCAAUAUUUUUGAUGUAUAUUUUUUUAAAUAAUUAGUAUACCUCAGUUCUAUAGUUUAUAUAUAUAUGAACCUUUUUUUUAAAAAAAAGAAGGGGGGGACUUAAAAUAAAAAAACUCAAAAUAGCCAUUUUGUAAAAUAGAUUUUUAGAAAAAUUUUGGUAGUUGAAACUUUUGUUAAAUUAUGGUCUUUUAUUUUCUACAAUUUUUUGAAGUUUUGUUAAUGUGAAUAUUACAAUAUUUUAUCAGUUAUUGGUCAGGGCACAUGACAAGGAUUUUCUUUUCCAUGAGUUUUUAUCAUGCAAUAAUAUUAUCAUAUAGGUAAUAAGUGGUAUAAAUCAAUUAAUAAUAGUAAUUUUAUGGUAUUUAUUAAUUAAUUAAUUUAAUAGUUGUUAAAAAAGAAAUUUUCAACAAAUCUUAGAAAAUUAAAGACCAUACUUCAACAAAUGUUUCAACUACCAAACAUUUUCUUUAAAUCUAUUUUACAAAAUUAUUAUUUUGAAUUUUGUAAAGAAAUUUAGUAAUUUUUUUUAUUUGAAGUCCCCCCCUCUCUAAAAUAAAUGUUCAUAUAUUAACUAUAGCGCUGAGGUAUAUUAGUUAUUUAAAAAAAAAAAUAUUGAAUAGAACAAAAGUAAUUUAAUUUAUUUUAGUCUCAUAUGCUAAUUUGAGAACAAUACAAUUUUCUAAAAAGUGAUAUUAUAAUUAUAACAAGGUAGAAUUAUAUUCAUCAUCACACUUAAAUGUGGACUUUCAACUGUUAAAUAUGGUAACAACCAUUCUCUGAUAAAGUUGGUCAUCUGUUCUAGUUAGGUAGGUGGUUAUGUUUGGCUGCUAUAAGUACCCCCACCUAACCCACCUAUGUUUUAUUUAAAUUCUGAUACUAAUUUAUUGUGACUUACCAUAUUUUUGAUUCUGAUGAAUUCCUAUGUUUGUUUAGCUUUUUUUUUAAGUAUUCAUUUGAUCUUUAUGUUAAACCAAAGUUAAGUCAAUAAAUUAUUUUACCUUUACAAUUUCUCUAUAUGUUUUAUAAUUUGAUUUUGUGGUUGACACCAAUUGAUAUUCCAAUAUAAUAAAUCCUUUAAAUGUAUUGGUAUAUUAUAUUUAGGACUUAAUUAGGACUACAAAUAAUAUGCUUCAAGAUUAUUUUUCGAAUAAUAAUGCAUUUUGAAACUUAAUUCCAUAUAAAUGCAUUCAUAUUAUAUAAAAAAAAAUAAAUAAUAAUUGCAUAUUAUACUGGAUAUUUAAGCUUUUCUUAGUGUAUAAGGUUCUGAGUCUUGAACUAAUAAGUUGAAAAAUAAUUAUAAGCUCAUAUAGUUUUAUCAGUUUUAAAAUUUAUGAAAAUUAACUGAUUUCCAUGGUAGAGAUUCCUGCUCAUCCUUAGUAUUAAAUUUGUAUACUUUAUAAUACUUCAUUUUUUUUCUCCCCAUAGCAAAAGAUGUAUAUGAAAACUAACACAGGAGAAAUUGAAGUAUUUCUAUGUCCAGAAUACAAUACCAAUACAGUUGCACAACCGCAAAGUCAGUUAAGGCCGCCGUAUACAUCUCAGGUUGGUAUCGCUUAUGAAUUAUUUUUGGAUUUCACAAUUUGAUUAAAAAUAUUUUUGUUUUAGAAUGUCAAUAAUUCAUUGAUAGGCAACAAUACAGUUAUCAAAUCUCCCCAAAAAUCUUCUGUUAUUCAACAGUCACCAACAUAUUCAUCACAUAAGUACAAAAUGGGAACUAUCAAAUCAGAAAAUGAAGAGAACACAACAACAGAUAGAUGUAAAGAAAAGCCGUUAAACGAACAGCAGUAUAUGCCCAGUACAAGUGGUUCCGGUAUGCAAAUUAUUACACAUAUACCGCGUUUCAUUUUAAAUACACAUCUUGGUUUGCAUGAUGCUUGCAUGAUGUCCAUGAAAUUUCAAAAUAUUACUUUUACUUGUUUAUAAAUUCUUCAAUUUCUUUCUAUUUUCUAUUUUUGUUUUGUUUUUAACUAAUAUUUAUUUAAUCUUCUUAUAACUAGUUCUUAUCUAUUUAGUUUCCAUAAUUUAUUUUACUAUUGAUCCUUUAUUACAAAACAAUAUUUUGCAUGAUAGAUACUUGAUUCAAAAUGUAUGAUUAAUUUAAUUUAUACAUCUAGAUUCUAGUGUAUCUAGUAGUAAAUUUGUUUUGCCUUAAUUUUCAUUUUUCUAAUGAUAACCUUUCAUAAGUUAAUAUUACUAUUAUUAAAUUAUGUUAUUACCCUCUGUAACAUUUAUUAAAUCUGAUAGUUUCAACAUUUUGAAUAUGAUAUAUUUAAUAGAAAUUUUAAAUACUUAUUUUUUUGUAUGUUCUUAUGGGAUUAUAACAUUUCAUCUUGAUAAUAGUCUAUUAUAUAUGGUUGAAUUUCAUUAACUGCUUUUAAAUAAAAUGAUAAGGUAUACAAAAUAUUGCUAUUAACUCUAAGUGAAUAUAAUAUACAUUCAAAUUUCAAUUUAAUAAAUUAUCUCUCAUGUAUUUUUUUAUUUUUUAGAUUAAGUAUUAAUAUUUAAUUAUGUAAUUUUAUUUUACUGUUAUCUAAAUCCAACAUUAGCACAAUUAUAAUUUUUUAAGUAAAGUUCAUUACAUAAAGUACAUUUGCUACUAUUCAGAAUUCUUUUCAAUCUUCUCACAUUUUUAAUUACAAAUAUUGAGAGCUACAUCAUAAUCUAUUACAUUAUUAUUAUUUUAUAAUUUUUUUUUUUUAUAACUUUGAUUCAUCAAAGAAUCAAAUAAAUUUCAACAAAAACAUAAUAUUGUUAAUCUGAAUGUCUGUUUUAAACUCAAUUAUGUUCUUGUGGUUAAUGUAAAAAAAACUUCAUUGAUACUAUGAAAGUAAUAAAAUUAUUAUUUAGUUGAACAACAAUUAUUAGUAUUAUUAUUGUUAUUAUUAUUAUAUAUAUAUAUAUAUAUAUAUAUAUAUAUUUUUAUUUUUAUUUUUAUUUUUAUUUUUAUUUUUUUGCUUUAUUUGUUUGUCGUAUAACAUUGUCUUGUAUUAUAUACAUUUUGCUUUUAUGAUAUAAUAAUAUUAUAAUCUUAUAAAAAUUAACUGAAAAGUAUGAAUAGCAAAAUUAUUAAAAUAUUUUGUUUUGUUUUACUGCUCCAUAUUAUCCGGAAAUAAUUUUUGAAAAAAAACUUGCAAUUGCUUCGGUUUUACUGCUGUUGAGUGUAAAACAGUCAUGUCGGUUGUCCGCUGAAUUUUACGAGUGCCUCAUGUAAUGUAUCUCUUUUAGCACCAUUGAAUUCAGCUGUCGCCUGGUGUGUGGUCUGCUUUUGCCUUAUGUACAAUCAGUGCUUCUUCAUUUACCACAUAUCUUAUCACAAUAUUAUUAUGUAGUAUGUAAAUAUUGUAUUAUUUUAAAUUAAAAUACAAAUGGUUCAUACGGAUCUUUUUAUUUUUCAAAAGUUGUGCAGUGUAGCUAAUGAAUUUUUAACAAUUAUUAACAUUAAAUUCUUCAGUUCUAUUCAUAUAUUUGAUAUUGAUUUUUUUUUUCAUCAUAUAUAUAUAUAUAUAUAUAUUAAAGAAAUUUACUAUUCUAUAGUAUAAGAAUCAUAGAAAUUUUAUUAUUUACUUAAAUAUUGAUUUCACUAGUCUUGCUUCUUUCUUUAACGCAUGUUGUCUAGUUAUUUUUUUAUUGAGUAAGUUUGGUUUUCAUUAAAACCUAGUGUGAAUUUAUUAUAUUUGUAUUUUUUUUUUUAGUCAAAGAUACAUUUGAAAUAUCUUGUGAACCUUUCUUGAUGCUGGAGCCACCAAAUGAAGACGACUACAACUACUGUUUAGAUUCUGAUGAGGGUCUUGGUGACCUGUUUGGCUUUAGAUUAUAAGUCUGCUCUGAUAGUAAUAAUUU
rnacentral:lncRNA from 1 species